rnacentral:rRNA from 1 species
UAAUAUAAUUUUACCAUUAUUCGCCAAGGUACUAAAAGCGCAAGCUUAAAACCUAGGGGACUUGGCGGUGCUUUAUAACCAUCUAGAGGAGCCUGUUCUAUAACCGAUAACCCCCGUUAAACCUCACCUUUUUUAACCUUUACCGCCUAUAUACCACCGUCGUCAGCUUACCCUGUGAAGGAAUUAAGUAAGCAAAAAUAUUAUUACUCAAAACGUCAGGUCGAGGUGUAUUUUAUGAGAAAGGAAGAAAUGGGCUACAUUCAUCAAAAGAUGUAUACGAAUAGUUAUUUGAAAAAAUAACCUAGAGGUGGAUUUAGUAAUAAAAAAAAAUAUAUUGUUC